GGCUCAGGACGAACGCUGGCGGCGUGCCUAAUACAUGCAAGUCGAGCGAGCUGAAUUCAAAGAUCCCUUCGGGGUGAUUUGUUGGACGCUAGCGGCGGAUGGGUGAGUAACACGUGGGCAAUCUGCCCUAAAGACUGGGAUACCACUUGGAAACAGGUGCUAAUACCGGAUAACAACAUGAAUCGCAUGAUUCAAGUUUGAAAGGCGGCGUAAGCUGUCACUUUAGGAUGAGCCCGCGGCGCAUUAGCUAGUUGGUGGGGUAAAGGCCUACCAAGGCAAUGAUGCGUAGCCGAGUUGAGAGACUGAUCGGCCACAUUGGGACUGAGACACGGCCCAAACUCCUACGGGAGGCAGCAGUAGGGAAUCUUCCACAAUGGACGCAAGUCUGAUGGAGCAACGCCGCGUGAGUGAAGAAGGUUUUCGGAUCGUAAAGCUCUGUUGUUGGUGAAGAAGGAUAGAGGCAGUAACUGGUCUUUAUUUGACGGUAAUCAACCAGAAAGUCACGGCUAACUACGUGCCAGCAGCCGCGGUAAUACGUAGGUGGCAAGCGUUGUCCGGAUUUAUUGGGCGUAAAGCGAGCGCAGGCGGAAUGAUAAGUCUGAUGUGAAAGCCCACGGCUCAACCGUGGAACUGCAUCGGAAACUGUCAUUCU
rnacentral:rRNA from 1 species